AUUCUGCUUACGGAGAGUUUACUUUUCUUUGGGGGUGAGUUACACCUUCUGUUUUUGCAAGUUUCACUUCUCUGAUGAUGUCAAUUUCCCGCCUUUCUCCAUCCCAUUUUUCAAUUUCAAUAUUUACCAAUAAUCAGUUAAUGGAUCUCAAGUUUCUUUCUUUUUUCUCCUUCCUCACUCGUUUUUUAGCUGUUGCUGAAUCUCCAUGAUUUUUUUUUCCCUCCGUGUGAAACUGUUAGUCUUGUGUUGAUUUCUCUUUUUGUUUGGUAAAUGAAUUUAUUGUUUGGGAAGCUCUAUGGGGGUGUGAACAAGGUCUCUUUUGAUUAAUUCCAACCCCCUCCUCUUUUGAAGAAUAAUUUACUUGAAGUAGUUUAUGCUUUAUCCUCAUUUUUGUUUAAUCUCUCAAUUUUGAUGUAUUUUACCUCCUUUUAAAACCUGACUUGUUCUUUAAAUUUAAUCUUUACAUGUUAAACCGUUUUUAAAGUUUUUAUUUAAUAAACUUCACCAUUUUAUACAUUGGCUUACCCUUCCCCAGCCUCCUUUGCACUCCUUUCUCCUUCAUUUCAGGACCCUCACCCCCAACCUCCACAAUUCCCAGCUUCAAAUUUGACUCACCCUGCCAGCCAAAGAGGGACACCUAGGAAGAAGCAAUGUCCUGCUUGGGUCAAAGCCUACAUUCAGGGUUCUAGUUCUCCCCCCCUCCCCCAUCGAGCCAGCAAAAUCAGGGAAAGAAAAAUUUCUGUUUGACUUUUUAGUCUAGGACUCAGCUCUUUCUCCUUGCCUUUCUCCUGGGCAACUUGUUGGUACACAAAGUUGAAAUCUUAAUUCUCAUCUUUUCCCUAAAUUCUAAGAAAAGUACAAGCAGAUCUUUGUACCUCCCCUAAAUGUCAGCAGCUAGCUUAGGGUAAGCCUUUUGGGUUUCUUACCUUCUGGAAGAGGAUUCCCAGAAGAAACACAAUGUUUAGUCCUCUCUUUUACUUUUGAUUAAGGUGGAGGUGGCAGGGAUCAGGGCACCCCCAUUUUGAUCUCUGGCUCUGGCUUUGAACGGACACAAAGAAGGAAGGGCGAGCUGGCCUGAGACUCGAUCACUUCUGGUCGGAGAGGUCUGGCUUAGGAUAGUUUGGGGUAAAUCUCACCUCUGAGGAGAUUCUUAUUUAGCAGUACUGUGAAGUAAACCAUCAAAAUGGUGUGAUGAGGUUUUCAGCCUCUUUAGAUCCAGUGCAAGUACAAAAAUCAAAUUGUUAGAGUAAUCUGUUUCCCCAAGAUCCACCUCCUGCGACUUUGUCUGUUUCCCGGAGGGAAACAGAACCCAACUGGGCAGAAGUAAAACUGCCACUGCCAUUGCCCCUCCCCUCCGGGUUCUCCAGCUCCGUCAUCACAUUGACAUUCUGGGCACAUUUGGCCCAGCCCCCGUCCCCCGCUUCUCCCAAGUAUGAAUCUAAAUUACUAUUAAUAAGGGGCCGCUCCAAGUUAAUUGGCAUUAAAAGAAUUCAUUUCAAUUUGUUAAUAUUAAAUGAACGCUCUGCACUUUAGCUCCCUUCUUCGCCCUGGAUUCCCAGAUGAGUGAUGGCAAGUGGGGGUGGGGGAAUAGAAUGAGGAUUUUAUUUCUGACUCUCCAGCCUAGUCACUGCGGUGCCUCCCCUGGGGGCUGGAGAUCAAGGCUCAGUGGGGGGGCCUGAUUGGGGAACGUCCGGUGCUCUUUUUUUUUUUUUUUUUUAAGUGAAAUUCAUCUGAUUCUGUGGGAGCUGCAAAUGUGGGAGAGGGCAGAGGGGAGCUGAGGGAGAGGGACAGUAGGGUUUGGGGGUAGUUUUGGUGGAGGGAUGGGGGACUGUGGAGGGGUGGGGGAGUGGGGAGGAAAAGAGACAGAAAUGCAUGGGAGUGGUAGGAGCAUAAGGGUUGUGGGCUGUGGGGGUAAAGCAUAUUUGUUGAGGAAGGUGCUAAAACCCACCUAGAGAAGGAGGAGCUGGGGGUGAGGGUGGGAGAUGUGGGGUAAAGCAGCUAGGGGAUCUGAAGCUAUCUAGCUGUGUGACUUUCGGCAAGUUGCUUAACUUUGCUCCCUUAAGUUUCUUGAUCUGUAAAACUGGAAUAAUAUUAACAGUAGCUAUCUCAGGGGUUGUUUGGGAUUUGAUGAAAUCCACGUGAUGUGUUUUCCACGGGGCUUGGCACCUGGAAACUACCAGUAAAUGCUAGCUCUUAUUAUAAAAAUGUUUUUCUAACAUUUAUUUAUUUUUGAGACAGAGAGAGACAGAGCAUGAACGGGGGAGGGGCAGAGAGAGAGGGAGACACGGAAUCAGAAGCAGGCUCCAGGUUCUGAGCCAUUAGCCCAGAGCCCGACGCGGGGCUCGGACCCACGGACCACGAGAUCGUGACCUGAGCUGAAGUCGGACACUUAACCGACUGAGCCACCCAGGCGCCCUGGUGCUAGCUCUCAUUAUAGCAGAAUGGUUAAGAGCCUGGAUUCUGGAGCCCGACUGCCUGGUUUUGAAUCUCAGCCCUGCCUUAGGCUAGCUGUAUGACCUGGGGCAAGUUACUUUACCUUUCCAGACGACAGUUUCCUCAUCUGCAAAAUGGAGUUAAUAGUCCUAGUGCACAGGCUGUUGUGGAAGUGAAAUGAGUCCGUGUGUGUGACGUGAAGUGAAAUGAGUCCGUGUGUGUGACGUGCCCGGAACAGUGUCAGUAGAGUGGGCACUGUGUCAGCAUUAGUUAUUAUGGAUGUUGCUUUUCUGACCUGAGAAGGUUGGAGAUAGAGGCGUGGAACCCCUUCGAGGUUAAGGGCUCAAUGGAUUCUCUAAGCCUGAUCAGCUCAACCCACUGAUCUAACAGCUGGGGUGUACACAGUGGGGGCAGGAGAGAAUGAAGCCCUGGGGCUCUGGAGGCUGGGAUGCCUGAGUUCUUCCCCAGCCUCUGCUGUGGCUCUUGGCUUGGCCGUCCCUCUCAGUGCCCAGAGACUUCAAGGGGAAGUCACUUCUUUUUUUCCCUGUGGCGGCCAUGCUGGGGGAACUACUUUCUCGGUCUAAUACCCCCCUUGAGUCAAGAGUGAGUCUCUGGAGUGGGGGCUGGGGUGGGAAGUGGCUAAGUGGGAAUGUUUUGGAAUGCUUAGUUAGGGAAGACUUGCCGGAGGUGGAAAGCACAGAUCCAGGUGGGUUCAGGUGGGAAGGCAGUGAGGACGGGGGGGGGAUGGUACACUGGCCAGGAAGGGGAGGGAGAAAAGGCCACGCAAAGGCUGGAUGAGGCCAGGGGGCAAGGAUCAGGUUGGCUUUGCUGGCGCCAAGUAAAAUCGGUUACGUUUCUUGAAGACCUACUCUGUGCCCGGGCACAGCGUUAUAGACUGGGUGUGUCCUGUUCGAUGCUCACAACAACCCUGACAAGCGAGUGUCUUAUUCCUGUUUCCAGAAGAGUCUGUUGAAGCUCAGAGAGCUGCCCCAUUUCGGGUCACACAUUUGGUAGCUGGAUUUGCCCGGCACUGACCCCCAUGCCUGAGCUGCCUGCAAAGCAUGGCCUCCUCCCUUCCCUGGGGCUCGCCUCCCAUUCCUACUGUGUCCCCGCGUUUGUAGUCACACUUAGUGACUGGGAACAGAGGGUAGAGAAUGGGACAGGACCACAAGAAAGCGGCAGAUGGGCAGUGGGGGCAGAAGCUUGUCUCACAUGUUUGUGAAGAAGAUGGAUGGAGGGGUAUUCUCCCUGGAGCAAGGCCUCCAAGUCACUGUCCUGUGACUGCUGUUCUUGGCAUGACAGCCAUCGGGGAGCACAGUGACCUCAUGGGGGAUCACAUUGUUUUCUGGACUGUGGUCUCUAGCCCCCCUCCUUUGAGAGGGGAAGGGGAAGAGGGUGGUUCAGGUGUGGGUCUGAGCCCUGGAUGAAGACCACUAGUUGUUCAAUAAAACCCCUUCUCUCCUUGUUGCUUGAAAGCAGACGGCCUUGCGGCUGGACACCCAUUUCGUGGCUGCACUUGCUGCCAGGUGUGGCCAGAGGGGAGUGGGAGCCAAGUAAUGUCAUCAGAGCCUUAAGACAUUGGGUAAGUUCUUCUUUCGCGAGCUGGACCCGAUGCACCUGGGACUGAGCUUUGACCAUGCACUUGAGGAGAAGUCCCUAAGAGAGAGCAAAGCAACCACAUGGAAGGAAGCCACGUCUCCGACUGACCAAGUGGAACCGAACUGCCUGCCGUCGAGAACUGCUCCACUGAGA
rnacentral:lncRNA from 1 species